UGCAAGUCGAGCGAGAAGCACUUCGGUGUGAGUACAGCGGCGGACGGGUGAGUAACGCGUAGGAAUCUACCCGGUAGUGGGGGACAACUUGGGGAAACCCAAGCUAAUACCGCAUACGCCCCAAGGGGGAAAGCGGGGGAUCUUCGGACCUCGCGCUAUCGGAUGAGCCUGCGUAGGAUUAGCUAGUUGGUGGGGUAAAGGCUCACCAAGGCGACGAUCCUUAGCUGGUCUGAGAGGAUGAUCAGCCACACUGGGACUGAGACACGGCCCAGACUCCUACGGGAGGCAGCAGUGGGGAAUAUUGCGCAAUGGGCGAAAGCCUGACGCAGCCAUGCCGCGUGUGUGAAGAAGGCCCUAGGGUUGUAAAGCACUUUCAAUUGGGAAGAAAAGCUGUUGCUUAAUAAGUAACAGCCCUGACAUUACCUUUAGAAGAAGCACCGGCUAACUCCGUGCCAGCAGCCGCGGUAAUACGGAGGGUGCGAGCGUUAAUCGGAAUUACUGGGCGUAAAGCGCGCGUAGGCGGUUUGUAAAGUCGGAUGUGAAAGCCCCGGGCUCAACCUGGGAACUGCAUUCGAUACUGGCCGACUAGAGUACGAGAGAGGG
rnacentral:rRNA from 1 species